AUUGAACGCUGGCGGCAUGCUUUACACAUGCAAGUCGAACGGUAACAGGUUAAGCUGACGAGUGGCGAACGGGUGAGUAAUGCAUCGGAACGUGCCCGAUCGUGGGGGAUAACACUUCGAAAGAAGUGCUAAUACCGCAUACGAUCUGAGGAUGAAAGCGGGGGACCGUAAGGCCUCGCGCGAUCGGAGCGGCCGAUGGCAGAUUAGGUAGUUGGUGGGGUAAAGGCUCACCAAGCCGACGAUCUGUAGCUGGUCUGAGAGGACGACCAGCCACACUGGGACUGAGACACGGCCCAGACUCCUACGGGAGGCAGCAGUGGGGAAUUUUGGACAAUGGGCGCAAGCCUGAUCCAGCAAUGCCGCGUGCAGGAAGAAGGCCUUCGGGUUGUAAACUGCUUUUGUACGGAGCGAAAAGGCUCCCUCUAAUACAGGGGGCUCAUGACGGUACCGUAAGAAUAAGCACCGGCCAACUACGUGCCAGCCGCCGCAGUAA
rnacentral:rRNA from 1 species